AAAAUAAGGGAGGAUGUAAGGGUAUCACUGGAAAAAAGGGGUGCAUUGGGUUAAGGAUGUCGGCAAUGUAUCAUAAUGGGUUGUGCCCAAAGGAACAACCCAAACCCUAAACUAAACCAACCAAAAUCCUAGAAGACCAAUGUGUUCUGCCUUUCUCUCAUUCCAUUUAGUCUUCACCCUCUCUCUUACUUCUCUCACUCUGCAAAUCCUUUCUUUCAUCUCCUCUCGUCAGAAGUGGCGACGGCGGCGACCCAUGGUGGUUGUCGCCUCCUCCUCCGGUGAUCAACCCUAAAUUAAAAAAUUUCAAACAUUAACCCCCUUCAGUCUUAUCCUUUCUUUCCAAGUUCAGGCCUAAUUUCAUCAAAAACCAACUUAAAAGGCCAAAUCAGAUGCUCAAAAUCAAGAAACCCUAAUUUUAAAUCCAGAGAAAAUCAACCAAAAACUAACCUACAUUCAGUCCUAAACAUCAAAUCAACAUGAAAAACAUACAAAAACAACACCAAUAGCAUGAAAUUCAAACCCAAAUAGAACCCUAACUCAACAAAUGCUCAAUCAGGUUCUAAAGCUACACAUACAAGCAUAAUGGAAGCAGAACCUACAUGUUAUCAAUUAAGCAUGGCAAACGCGAAAGGAAAAAAAAUCACCAGUCUGGACGUUCCCGGGGAGAAUAUCCACAGGAUUGUGGAUGAACAUGGGGCAUGAGGAUGGAUGGUGAUGAAUAUGGCGUUGCACAUGAAAGAACAUGUGAAGCUAUCUGUAACUCAAAAAACUCAUUUUCCUUCUGUUUUGUUCAUUUUUGUAAUAUUAUUAUUGUGUAAAAUGUAUUAUAAAUAAAACAUUUUUAUUUUAAUUCUAUUUUUUGUUUAAUGGAUGUAAAGUAUAAUAUUGAUGUAAAAUAAAAACAAAUUUUAACUCAUUUAUUUCUUUUUUUUAUA